rnacentral:rRNA from 1 species
UUGGAAACUGGGAGACUUGAGUGCAGAAGAGGACAGUGGAACUCCAUGUGUAGCGGUGAAAUGCGUAGAUAUAUGGAAGAACACCAGUGGCGAAGGCGGCUGUCUGGUCUGUAACUGACGCUGAGGCUCGAAAGCAUGGGUAGCGAACAGGAUUAGAUACCCUGGUAGUCCAUGCCGUAAACGAUGAUUACUAAGUGUUGGAGGGUUUCCGCCCUUCAGUGCUGCAGCUAACGCAUUAAGUAAUCCGCCUGGGGAGUACGACCGCAAGGUUGAAACUCAAAAGAAUUGACGGGGGCCCGCACAAGCGGUGGAGCAUGUGGUUUAAUUCGAAGCUACGCGAAGAACCUUACCAGGUCUUGACAUCUUCUGCCAACCUAAGAGAUUAGGCGUUCCCUUCGGGGACAGAAUGACAGGUGGUGCAUGGUUGUCGUCAGCUCGUGUCGUGAGAUGUUGGGUUAAGUCCCGCAACGAGCGCAACCCUUAUUACUAGUUGCCAGCAUUCAGUUGGGCACUCUAGUGAGACUGCCGGUGACAAACCGGAGGAAGGUGGGGACGACGUCAAAUCAUCAUGCCCCUUAUGACCUGGGCUACACACGUGCUACAAUGGAUGGUACAACGAGUCGCGAAACCGCGAGGUUUAGCUAAUCUCUUAAAACCAUUCUCAGUUCGGACUGUAGGCUGCAACUCGCCUACACGAAGUCGGAAUCGCUAGUAAUCGCGGAUCAGCAUGCCGCGGUGAAUACGUUCCCGGGCCUUGUACACACCGCCCGUCACACCAUGAGAGUUUGUAACACCCAAAGCCGGUGGGGUAACCUUUUAGGAGCUAGCCGUC